rfam:Staphylococcus cohnii subsp. cohnii strain 073AN genome assembly, contig: ERS576551SCcontig000001
CCAUUAUACAUAAGUUACCUUGAUAAUUUAGUAUAGUUAGUGUUUAUUAAAUUAUCAAAGUGACUUGUUUUUAAGUGUUUUAAUGUAAAAUUACAUAUGGAUGCGUUGUAUUUUGGCGAGAUGCUUGAGGGAACAGGAUAAGUUGAAGACGACAGGCUGAAGCUGUCCCCAUAAAAGAGCGAGCCAACAAUACGAAGUAUUGAGUAACAAAAAAGCACGCAG